GGUUCUUUCAAGUACAUACAGCAAAGAAAACUGCUUCAACAUCAACAAUUGCUAAUCCAACAACACACAUACAUGAAAGCUUAUGGAUUUUCAGUCCUCGAACUCUUUCCUGAAUUUAAGACUAACUGGUGAAAGAAGAAUAAGCAAAACAGUGAAAGUAACGGCUGAGAUGAGAAUCUGAACUUCAGGUUCCCACUUGAAAACAGAAGUAAUGUGAACAAAUAUCUUCCUAUUCUGUGGGGACUGGGAUUUAUGAUAAAAGAAAAACAGGCACUAAGAGCAAUGUGUGCUCCACUAAUAAAAAGGGAACAGUCAGCUAAACCAGUGUUGUGAUGGAAAACAGAGUGGCCUUUGAUAGAUAUCUAAAACACCUCUGCAGUGGGGGAAGUCCAAAUGUGUUUCCGCCUCGAACCAAAUAUCAUGUUAAAGGACUAAGAAUUUACAGUAUUUCAUGGAUUCCUUUCCAAUAUAUUCGUCUUUUUGUACUCUCCAGAAUUUUCUUGAAGGAAGUCAAACAUCUCCUGUUAUUUUGGGACAUGGACAUGGUGAUGAACAAAUAUCAUGGACAAGAUGGAGAAAAAAAAGAUGUACAAAGGGUUUCUAAGGACCAAAACAUAGUUUAAAGAAGAACCAGAACAGAAGUUAGACCUUGACUGCAAAACCUAUGUCCUGGAGACCAAGUAACUAUUCCUGCAAUUUCUAGACAAGCCAGUUUUGAUGAGAUGUUGAGUAAGAGUUACUGGAUUUGUUUUUCAUGUUAGCUAAACAGUAUUUUGAGAUGAUGGCAUUUUUGCAUUGCCCUACACAGAAUGUAAAAAAUCAGUUUUUGCCAAAACAAAUUGUAAUACCAUAACGAAAUAUUCUCUGUCUCAGUUCCUUCAAACUUUAAGUUGCCUAGAUACUGCAGUAAGUAACACAUACUCAGAAAAGUCUCAGCAAUUACAAAUUAUAGUGUUAAUUUCAUAUAGACAAUAUGAAUGAUGUUGAAAACAAAAAUGGCUGAAUUUUCAUAAGUUUGAAAAUGCAUCCACUGUCAAAAGCUGGACACAAGAGGUACAUAGAAAAAUGAUGAAGAAGACUUAUUUUAACUUUAAGAUAAGAAAUAUAGAUUUCUAUUCAAUAGCUAGCAAGAUGUUUGUAUUCAGUAAGAGCUAUCCUAAAGAUGUUGUCAAAUCAGGAGAAAACUAAGCAGUUCUCAUUCUGUCAUAAUACACUAAUGCUGAUGUUACAGCAUGCAUAAAGAGUAGAGGUAGAUUUUGAGUCUAAAAAGAGUAGUAGGUUUCAUACAUAUUUCAGAAUUGGUGGUGGCAACUGUAUUUGAAAUAAAAUAUCAAGCAAAAGUGUCAAAUAAAGUUCAAGAAUUAGCCAAGAAAUACAGCAAUGCAUGAUGUUGAAUUGAAUGUAACUGGGAUUUAACAACCGCAUGGAAUGUAAUUUUUUGACUGAGGAAAAAAUUGAGACUUUGAAAAUCAUUUGGAAACACCAAUUCUCGGGUGCAAAUAAAGGUAUUGUGAAAAGUUUUAAUUUGAUCUACCUUUUCUGAGAUUUUUAUUUGAUAACAGAUCAAUUAUAAUACUAAAAGAAAAAAAACACUGUAGGAAAUGACUGCACACUAAAGCAGCUCUUAAAAGACCCUUUAUGGUUUAUUGCUGGGAAAUCAUAUAGAAACUGUGAGAUGGAUGCUGAAGUGCUCUUGAUCAGUUUGGUAUGGUUCACUUAAUAACUGGUAUUAUAAACAAGUACGUAGGUGGUUAAAAAUGGUGCUGAAAAACUGUCAGAGUAUUGAUCUUCCUUAUGUUAUGAGCUGUACCUGAAUUAUAAACUACAGUCCAGCAGGUGACAAAUGACAUAUGCCUGAUCCCUCUAUAAGUCUGUCAUUUUUUAAUUUGUGUUUCAUAAGUCAAGUUCUUCCCUUAGCUAUGCAGUGGAAUUCAUGUUACCUUAAAGCAGAAGGUAAAGGAAAGUCAAAUGUAGCAAAACACUAUGCAGUUUAAAAGUUUUUAACUUGGGACAAUGAAAGGCAAGAAAAAUAUUCCUAAAUUCAUGUGUCAAUCUUUCUCACUAGAACUGAUUCCAA
rnacentral:lncRNA from 1 species